rnacentral:rRNA from 1 species
AUUGAACGCUGGCGGCAGGCCUAACACAUGCAAGUCGAGCGGAUGAAAGGGGCUUGCUCCUGGAUUCAGCGGCGGACGGGUGAGUAAUGCGCAGGAAUCUACCUCGUAGUGGGGGAUAACGUCUCGAAAGGGGCGCUAAUACCGCAUACGUUCUGAGGAAGAAAGCAGGGGACCUUCGGGCCUUGCGCUAUGAGAUGAGCUUGCGUCCGAUUAGCUAGUUGGUGGGGUAAAGGCCUACCAAGGCGACGAUCGGUAACUGGUCUGAGAGGAUGAUCAGUCACACUGGAACUGAGACACGGUCCAGACUCCUACGGGAGGCAGCAGUGGGGAAUAUUGGACAAUGGGGGCAACCCUGAUCCAGCCAUGCCGCGUGUGUGAAGAAGGCCUUC